rnacentral:rRNA from 1 species
CCUACGGGAGGCAGCAGUGGGGAAUAUUGGACAAUGGGCGGAAGCCUGAUCCAGCAACGCCGCGUGAGGGAUGACUGCCUUCGGGUUGUAAACCUCUUUCAGCACAGACGAAGCGAAAGUGACGGUAUGUGCAGAAGAAGCACCGGCCAACUACGUGCCAGCAGCCGCGGUAAUACGUAGGGUGCGAGCGUUGUCCGGAAUUAUUGGGCGUAAAGGGCUCGUAGGCGGUUUGUCGCGUCGGGAGUGAAAACACACAGCUUAACUGUGUGCUUGCUUCCGAUACGGGCAGACUAGAGGUAUGCAGGGGAGAACGGAAUUCCUGGUGUAGCGGUGAAAUGCGCAGAUAUCAGGAGGAACACCGGUGGCGAAGGCGGUUCUCUGGGCAUUACCUGACGCUGAGGAGCGAAAGUGUGGGGAGCGAACAGGAUUAGAUACCCUGGUAGUCCACACCGUAAACGUUGGGCGCUAGGUGUGGGGCCUAUUCCAUGGGUUCCGUGCCGCNGCUACGCAUAAGCGCCCGCCGUCGGGAGGUACGGCCGCGAGGACGUAAACUAACGAAAGGAAAGUUAGACGGCGUGAGACGUGCCGAACGGACGACCGACGAGGGAGGUAGG